UACGGAGGGGGCUAGCGUUAUUCGGAAUUACUGGGCGUAAAGCGCACGUAGGCGGGUCAGCAAGUUGGGGGUGAAAUCCCGGGGCUCAACCCCGGAACGGCCCUCAAAACUGUUGGUCUUGAGUUCGAGAGAGGUGAGUGGAAUUCCGAGUGUAGAGGUGAAAUUCGUAGAUAUUCGGAGGAACACCAGUGGCGAAGGCGACUUCCUGGCACAAUACUGACGCUCAUGUGCGAAAGCUAGGGUAGCGAACGGGAUUAGAUACCCGGGUAGUCCCUGAGCGGGCUGG
rnacentral:rRNA from 1 species